rfam:Ailuropoda melanoleuca scaffold2693_8, whole genome shotgun sequence.
CCAAAGGCUCUUUUCAGAGCCACUUCCGUUUUCACUAAGAGUGGCU